ACGGCUCAGUAACACGUGGAUAACCUGCCCAAAGGUCUGGGAUAACCCGGGGAAACUGGGGAUAAUACCGGAUGGGUCACUAGUGCUGGAAUGCUUGGUGGUCGAAAGGCAACGCCUUUGGAUGGGUCUGCGGCGGAUUAGGUUGACGCCGGUGUAACGUACCGGCGUGCCUGUAAUCCGUACGGGUUGUGGGAGCAAGAGCCCGGAGAUGGAUUCUGAGACACGAAUCCAGGCCCUACGGGGCGCAGCAGGCGCGAAAACUCUACAAUGCAGGCAACUGCGAUAGGGGGACAUCGAGUGGCAUCCACCUUGGGUGCCUGUCCAACCGUCUAAAAAACGGUUGUUAGCAAGGGCCGGGUAAGACCGGUGCCAGCCGCCGCGGUAAUACCGGCGGCUCGAGUGGUGGCCGAUAUUAUUGAGUCUAAAGGGUCCGUAGCCGGCUUUGCAAGUCCCCUGGGAAAUCCAGCGGCUUAACCGUUGGGCUUUCAUGGGAUACUACAUUGCUUGGGGCUGGGAGAGGUAGGAGGUACUCGGGGGUAGAGGGGGUGAAAUCCUGUAAUCCUCCGGGGACCACCGGUGGCGAAGGCGUCCUACCAGAACAGGUCCGACGGUGAGGGACGAAAGCUAGGGGCACGAACCGGAUUAGAUACCCGGGUAGUCCUAGCCGUAAACGAUGCCCGCUAGGUGUCACGACGGUCGUGAAUCGUCGUGGUGCCGUAGGGAAGCCGCGAAGCGGGCCACUUGGGAAGUACGGCCGCAAGGCUGAAACUUAAAGGAAUUGGCGGGGGAG
rnacentral:rRNA from 1 species